rnacentral:rRNA from 1 species
UUACGGGAGGCAGCAGUGGGGAAUCUUGCACAAUGGGGGAAACCCUGAUGCAGCGACGCCGCGUGAGCGAUGAAGCCCUUCGGGGUGUAAAGCUCUUUCGUCAGGGAAGAUCAUGACGGUACCUGGAGAAGCAGCUGCGGCUAACUACGUGCCAGCAGCCGCGGUAAUACGUAGGCAGCACGCGUUGUUCGGAGUUACUGGGCGUAAAGGGUGUGUAGGCGGUUCUUUAAGUUUGGUGUGAAAUCUCCCGGCUCAACCGGGAGGGUGCGCCGAAUACUGAGGGACUAGAGUGUGGGAGAGGAAAGUGGAAUUCCUGGUGUAGCGGUGAAAUGCGUAGAUAUCAGGAGGAACACCGGUGGUGUAGACGGCUUUCUGGACCAUAACUGACGCUGAGACACGAAAGCGUGGGUAGCAAACAGGAUUAGAUACCCUGGUAGG